GAUGAACGCUAGCGGCAGGCCUAACACAUGCAAGUCGAGGGGUAGAAGGAGCUUGCUCCUUUGAGACCGGCGCACGGGUGCGUAACGCGUAUGCAAUCUACCUUGUACAGGGGAAUAGCCCAGAGAAAUUUGGAUUAAUGCCCCAUAGUAUAUAACCUUCGCAUGUUGGUUAUAUUAAAGUUCCAACGGUACAAGAUGAGCAUGCGUCCCAUUAGUUAGUUGGUAAGGUAACGGCUUACCAAGACGAUGAUGGGUAGGGGUCCUGAGAGGGAGAUCCCCCACACUGGUACCGAGACACGGACCAGACUCCUACGGGAGGCAGCAGUGAGGAAUAGUGGUCAAUGGUCGCAAGACUGAACCAGCCAUGCCGCGUGCAGGAAGACGGUCCUAUGGAUUGUAAACUGCUUUUAUACAGGAAGAAACCCUCCCACGUGUGGGAGCUUGACGGUACUGUAGGAAUAAGGAUCGGCUAACUCCGUG
rnacentral:rRNA from 1 species